CAGAUGCCGUAAGAAGAAGCGGGAGCACAAUGGCGUGUGCAGGUAAGCCGUUCGACAGAAUGCCCCUGAAGACGCAGGUGUCGUCGUGCCGCUCAGCAUGCUAGGAGGCCAUGGGCGAUGGGGACGGGGAACAUCGGGUGGUAGGGUGCCUGCUGCUCCAUGUUGGAUUAGUCGGGGCUCCUGCUCGCGGCUGACCAGCUCCUUCAAGAGCAGUAGCCGGAAGUGCAGGACACCGUGGGACUACAUGAGUUGUCCGUCAGCUACCACCCAGACCUUGCUGCCCACUGAAAUCGCAUUCACCCCAAAGUUGGAAGGGAGUCUUUCAUCUGGUAACCUUUUAUUAGGACUUGAGUUUUGCAGCGAUGGACCUCAUGUCAGUUUUAGGUUGCAUCCAAUGCCGAAGAGGGAGCUACUACUGGCUGGCGUCAUGGUAUGCUGAUCGCUUACAAGUACAAGGAGAUUUGGGCUUUUAUUUCGCAGGAGUUGUCGCGUGCCAGGAGCUUUGCCUAUAAAGAGGUAAAGAUAAUCCUUGGAGAGCAACACUGAGAUGAUUGAGAAGAAAAAAUUAACACUUUAGGACCAGCAUUUGCUCGCAGGCGGACAGGUACCGGCUGGAGAGGCUGAAGCUCAUGUGCGCCCGCCCAGAAGCUGUGGGAGCGCGUGUCGGCAGAGACGACUGUGGCGACGACGCUGGCCUGCCCGGAGCUGAAGAGGAGGUGCAUCGACUUCUUUGUGGUGGAGAAGAACUUCAGGAAGGCGGUGCUGACCGACUGACCGAGGGGUACGGUACCUGAAACUAAUGCAGAGUUUCCCGUCAGUUAUCGAUGAGAUGAGAGCACGGCUUGGGACUUGACUCUUGAGGCGCACGGUCGGUUGGACAUGCUGGGUUCUGGUGAAGAACGUAAUGUGUGGUGGAGGAAAAACGUUUGGAAUAUUGAUUUAUUGUAGUAUAUAUAUCCUUAUUAGAAAUGAGCUAUCUGGAACAAGAUUCUUGGGUUCUGAUGGAUCAGUACAUUUGUAAUCUGAGCCUCCUGGGGUGCGGCGUCGGGUCCUUCGUCGUGGGCGGCGAGACGGUUCCAGGCCCGCUCGCCGGUGUUCCUGGCGGAGAUCUGCGGCUCGUCCAUCGCGCUGCUUGACAUCGAGCCCGCCACGUUGAGGACCAUGGUUGCCUUGCGUUCGUGCACGCUGCCCAUUCAAUUCUUUGUCUGCUUCAUUGGCUAGAUUUUGAAUUUGAUGGACUA